GCUUGUCUCAAAGAUUAAGCCAUGCAUGUCUCAGUAUAAGUUCCUGUACGGCGAAACUGCGAAUGGCUCAUUAAAACAGUUACAGUUUAUUUGAUGGUCGUUCCUUACAUGGAUAACUGUGGUAAUUCUAGAGCUAAUACAUGCACCCGUGCCCGACUUUGUGGAAGGGUUGUGUUUAUUAGAUGGAAACCAAUGCGGGGCAACCCGGUAUAUGGUGAUUCAUAAUAACUUUCGGAUCGAUCUUCGGAUCGAUGCAUCAUUCAAGUUUCUGCCCUAUCAGCUUUGGAUGGUAGGGUAUUGGCCUACCAUGGCUUUAACGGGUAACGGAGAAUUAGGGUUCGAUUCCGGAGAGGGAGCCUGAGAAAUGGCUACCACAUCCAAGGAAGGCAGCAGG
rnacentral:rRNA from 1 species